GAUGAACGCUGGCGGCGUGCCUAAUACAUGCAAGUCGAGCGAACAGACGAGGAGCUUGCUCCUCUGACGUUAGCGGCGGACGGGUGAGUAACACGUGGAUAACCUACCUAUAAGACUGGGAUAACUUCGGGAAACCGGAGCUAAUACCGGAUAAUAUAUUGAACCGCAUGGUUCAAUAGUGAAAGACGGUUUUGCUGUCACUUAUAGAUGGAUCCGCGCCGCAUUAGCUAGUUGGUAAGGUAACGGCUUACCAAGGCAACGAUGCGUAGCCGACCUGAGAGGGCGAUCGGCCACACUGGAACUGAGACACGGUCCAGACUCCUACGGGAGGCAGCAGUAGGGAAUCUUCCGCAAUGGGCGAAAGCCUGACGGAGCAACGCCGCGUGAGUGAUGAAGGUCUUCGGAUCGUAAAACUCUGUUAAUAGGGAAGAACAAAUGUGUAAGUAACUAUGCACGUCUUGACGGUACCUAAUCAGAAAGCCACGGCUAACUACGUG
rnacentral:rRNA from 1 species